UGGAGGAAAGCAGGGGAUCGUAAGACCUUGCGCUUUUGGAGUGGCCGAUGCCUGACUAGCUAGUUGGUGGGGUAAGAGCCUACCAAGGCGACGAUCAGUAGUUGGUCUGAGAGGACGACCAGCCACACUGGGACUGAGACACGGCCCAGACUCCUACGGGAGGCAGCAGUGGGGAAUUUUGGACAAUGGGCGGAAGCCUGAUCCAGCAAUGCCGCGUGAGUGAAGAAGGCCUUCGGGUUGUAAAGCUCUUUCAGUCGAGAAGAAAAGGUUGUGACUAAUAAUCGCAACUUAUGACGGUAUCGACUGAAGAAGCACCGGCUAACUACGUGCCAGCAGCCGCGGUAAUACGUAGGGUGCGAGCGUUAAUCGGAAUUACUGGGCGUAAAGGGUGCGCAGGCGGCUCUGUAAGUCAGAUGUGA
rnacentral:rRNA from 1 species